GACUCUGGCUGAGAGUGUGCUGGGCAUUUCAACAUCUUGGAUGUUGGGUGGUGAGUUUUGCCCUUGAGCUGAUUCAGGUUCGGGCAAAGAGCUGAGCGUCUUUGGAGGACCCACAUUGUGACAUCCUGGUUUCCAUGGCUUGAUGGCCCCUGGCAACUUGUUCAAUUUCUUUUUCUAAGAUAGCCUAGAAAGUGAUUUUUUUAAGCCAAGUUCCUCCAAGAAUUUUCAGAAAAGCCUCUUGAUCCAGACCUGUUUGAUUCAAAUCGCUCCUGCUCUGGCUAUAGCUGUGGUCCCUCGAUCACCUGGUCUCAGCAUCCGGACCUGUUUAGCCCAGAUCUCAAUCACCUGGUGAGCCACCCGCCCAGCCCCAGCAGACACUAGCCUUGGAGAAGAUCACUCAUCGCCCCAGGACUCACUUCCACCGGCUGGUAAAAAUGGGGAUGAUUUUUUUCUUUAGGCUAUAAUUAGCCUCCACGUGGACUUGGGAGCAAGGGAUUACAGCGAGGGAGAAAGAAAGAAGAAAAGGAAGAGACUUUGAACUUAAAGCAUGGCUACUUUAAGAGGAUAUCUUUUGACUGUACUGAUAAUUUCAUUUAUAUCACCUGAGUGCCAGGGGGAAAAUUCAGCUCCCUGCAACUCUUUAGCCAAAUUUGAGAUUCCUGAAAUCCACUCUUACUAUGAGGAAGCAACUCAGUGGCUCAGUGAAUUGAGAGCCAAGCCUAGAGAAGGGAGGUCCUUGGUUGAAAUCUGGCCUCAGGCAUUGUGGCCCUGGACAGGUCAUUUAAUCCCCAUUGCCUAACCAUUACCAAUCUUCUGCCUUCUGACAAUAGGCAUCUAAAUGGAUAAAAAAAAAACAAGGAACUUUAAAGAGACUGGAGGUUAUAUUCUUAAGGCAUUUCAGACUCCAUGUUUUAUAAAAAUCUCUGUAUUCUAUUGCAUUUUAUUGAUUGUUUUGUUUAAGAUUUAACUUUGUGAUUUAAGUUCAUAUUUUAAGUUCAUAUAUUACUGCAUUCAAUACUAUUCUGUUAAACUGAAUCAUUUUAAUGUACUGGGGUUUAACUACUGUUAUAUUCUGUUGCUUUUCCCCUAUAACUAUACUGAACAAACAUUAUUGAGUAAGCCCUUAUAAAAAUAGCUUUUCUAUUUUUGACUUUGUAAAUUGUCACAUAGAGGAUAGAUGGACUCCAUCAGAAAAUUGCUAUAACAACCUUUGGAAAAAUUUGAUGAGCUAAAUAUCUCAAAUUGAUUUAAGGUUACUUUAGAAAUAAUUUUUAGAAUUUUUUUCUUAACAAUCUCUGGUCAUUUUGCCUGCUCCUAACACAAGGUAAGGCCCAUUUUAGUAGCUGGAGUAAAAUACAAUUAUAACCCCAAUUCCUGCAUUUAUAAAAAUGUGCAUGGAAGUUGGGGAAAUUAAUCCCAGGGCAUAUAGUACCCCUAAAAAAGCCUUCCCCCCCAAAAAAGGGGAGCAUCUCUCAUUUAUAACUCUUCAGAUCAUUUUACUUCCACCAGAAUGAUAUCUAGAAUUCUUGAUGAUGUUCAAAACCCAAAAUAAGUUUUACUUUGUUUAAAAAUGUGUUUACCAAGGUUGAAAGACUUGCUACAUUUAUAAAAAUUGUGACAAAUAUCCAUCAGUUCAUAGUGUGAGAUUUAAAAUGAUUGAGGUCUUAAACUGUAGUGAUUAAAAUAGUUGAAGAUAUAAAUUGUGAUAGAUAUAAGAGAGGGUGAGUAAAUUUGACCACGGAAAAUAUGUUUCACUACAGUGUCUUGGUUUCAAAAUCAAAUAUAAGGUGGUCGCCAGGGAAAUAUUCCCAAUUAUUCAAAUACCCAAGUCAAUUGGGUUUUAUAGAGAUUUUUAAUUAACAAUACAAUGAGUAAUCAAAGAAAGAGAGAGAGAGUAAGAAAGGAAUAAGUAUGAAGGGCCUCAAGCCAAUAUGGCCUAGACCUGAGUCUUAAAAGAGAAAUCAGUCAUAACUCACCAUAAGAUCUGUCUAAGUAAGGAUUUCUAAUGACACCAGGCCAGCAGCAUCUUCAGCUGCUUUCACCAGCUCCCUCCUCCAUCUGAAUGUUUCAGAAUCAGUCAGUCUCCUCAGAAUGAGUCUCUCCAAUCUGAAUGUUUCAGAAUGACUUCCCAGCUCUUCCCUGAGCUCUUAUUUUUAAGGGCAAAAUUUCCUCUGUCACCUCCCCUAAGUCCUUACAUCUGCCAAUCACUGUAGAUGUUUCUAAAGGACUUCCCAUUCUUAGUCCACACCUAAGAAGGUGUGGAUUUUUGAAUAAUUCACACCAGGAAAGCUCUGAGUAAGUUUUCCAGUUCUUUGUUCCUUGUAAAUUCACAAGUUGCUUGACCUUUAUAGGUACUUAGCUUAAGAAAAGUAUGGGUUUAAGUACUUUUCAUUGUUCAGAAAAGAGUUUACAACUUUAUCUUCCCCUAGGGCAGACCCAAGUAGGUAAAGUAGAAUUCUCACAUUUCUGCUUUAAGUAGAGUUCACUGCCCAAAUGGGGAAUGGUCUUAAUCCAAUCUUAUAAAGUAGGGUCUGGGAAAUUUUAAGGUUUACAAUAGGCUUUUAAAAAUUCCACAUAGCAACUCAUGUAAAAAUGAUAGUGUGUUUGCUAUUGUAAAUAACUGGGCUAUUGAGAAUUUUGGGAAUAUUGAUAACUACAUAUUUGUACUACUGUUCAAUUCAUUUGCUUAUACUCACAGUGGAUCAUGGCCAGAUAUAAAGAUGAAAUGGAUCUCAUUUUUGGUAAGAAAGCCUUAUAUUCUAUAUUUUCUUAGCUGACACAGAGUGCCAAUGAUUAUGUUAUAUUUUUGAAUUUUAAAAACUUUUAUUAUAUUUUUCUUGCAUGUGCAAUAUACUAUUUCAGUUUUUUUCUCUCCUUUUUAUAUUUGGAGCACAUCACCUGCAUUAAGAUUUUCUUUAACUUUUUGAUGUAAUAUAAGUUUAAAAUACAUUUGCAAUAAUGUCAACACAUGCCCCAAAAGCUUGAGACUAUAAAAAGGAUGCCACUAAUUGUUUAAAAAAAUUAUGGGACUUUGCUUAAUGAUUUUAUCUGAUUCUAGGACAGGAUAUACACAAAAGAACCAUUGCACAGGACUAAAGAUAAACCAAUCCAGGACGGAUUGAUGCACUUCCAAGCCAACAAGGUUGCGAUGCUUAACAUACAUUAAGACAUAGGCCUUCCUUGUAUCCACACUCACUCUGAAAAUACUUACAGACGAGUAUCCCAAACUUGGCUCCUACCUGGCUCCUAUAAUCUAGUCCCUUUUCUGUCUUCCAUAGUGUGGCAAACUUUCUGUAGUCCUGGCUACUGACUGGGUAAAUGCAUCAUUGCUUAGAACAUUUUAAUUGGGCCCUGAUUCAAGGACCUGUUAUAGAUUUACUUUUCCUUUAGUUGGAAUUUUUACACAUAAGACUUUGAUAUUUUCAUCCAGAAAUUUUCUUUUUUAUUUGGAUUUUUCUGAUGUCUUUUUAAUUUCUCUUACAAAUUGAUUCAUAUACCUCAUAACUCAUCCAUGCAUCCCUAAGUGAUCCUGUGUUUUUCAAUCACCCUUUUCACAGGGAAAUGUAAAAAUAUUAUUUUAAAUUGCAACAUUUAAAUUCUUUUUGAGAAGAAUUUUAGGUUAAGAAACAUGAUACCUCUCCAAAUCCAGAAACUGAACUGUUUGGAGAAGACACUAUGAAGAUGCCUCCAGACCACAAGCUGCAUGAGAAGAUCAAGAAUGAACUUUGGAUGUGGUUGAUUGAACAUUUAUUUGUAUCUAUACUUUCAUGCCAAAGGGGACUGCCCCCUAACUGGCUUUUUGUCAAUGCAUCUAGCAAUUAUUGGUUUUGUUUUUUCCCCCUCUUAUCCUCAAAUUAUUGUCAUCUUUAAGUUGAUUACGUUUUCAUGAUCCUUUGGGGGAAAACUUUUCUCAAAUUAUCAAACAGAGAAAUGUAAAAAUGGAGAUUUGAAUCCUGGACUUCAAUCCCCAGAAGUCCUUGGAAGUUCCCAGAAUCCCACAUGGGCGGAGAACAGAAAUUGUAUUUAUGCUGACUUGGCUCCAAGGCAGAAGAGUGGUAAGGGCUAGGCAAUGGGGGUCAAGUGACUUACCCAGGGUCACACAGCUAGGAAGUGUCUGAGGCCAGAAUUAAACCUAGGAUCUCCCAUCUCUAGGCCUGGCUCUCAGUCCACUGAGCUACCCAGCUGCCCCCUAUUUUCUUUAUUUCUUAAUCUUUAAUAAACCUAAAAAUAUAAUACUUUGAUUACUAGAAACUAAAUUUUAAUCUUAACAGCAGAUGAUAUGAUGAUACUUAGGGAAUCAAUUCAAAAACUAAUUGAAAUAAUUAACUACUGUAGCAAAGCUACAGGACACAAAAUAAACUCAUUCAAAAUCAUCAGAAUUUCUAUGUAUUAACAACAAAGUCCAGAAGAAAGAAAGAGAAAGAGAAAAUCCAUUUAAAAUAAAUAUACUUAACAUAAAAUAAAGCCGGAAACUAUAUGAACACAAUCACAAAACAUGUUUCAUACAUAAAAAGUCUGUUCUCAACGAUUGGAAAAAAAAUGAUAAUUGGUUGAGCUAAUGUGAUAAAAAUGACAAUUCUACCUAAAACAACUCAUUUAUUCAGUGCCACACCAACUACCAAAAAAAAUUAUUUUAUAGAACUAGGAAAAAAAUAAUAAAAUUCAUCUAGAGGAACAAAAAGUCAAGAAUAUCAAGGAAACCAAAGAAAAAACAUGACCUAGCCUUACCAGAUUGCAGAUUGAAUUAUAAAAUGGUAAUCUAUAAGAUGGCAAAACUAUCUGGGAUUGGCUAAGAAAUAGAGUAGUGAACCAAUGGAAUAGAUAUAGUACUCUAAAUAACCAUAGUAACCCAAAGUUUAGGACACUAAGUACUUUUCAUUGUCCAGCAAAGAGUUUACAACUUUAUCUUCCCCUAAAGUAUGCUUAAGUAGGGGUGGAGUAGAGGUCUUCACAUUCCUGGUCUAAGUAGAAGUCUCACAUUCCUGAUCUAAGUUCCUUCAUUGUUUAAAAUGGGGAAUGGUCUUAACCCAACCUUAUGAAGUAGGGUCUGAGAAUUUUUAAGGUUCACAAUCAUCAACUUAGUUCUAGUUCCCUGUUUCCACACUAAUUCCCAUAAAUAUCCCUAAAUAUUUACAAGUUGAAAAAUUCACAUAACCAGCACUGCCCUCUGUGGUGACUGUGAUAAAGAACAAGCAACGUACAAUGCCAGGUCUUUUUUUAUUUUUCUUAAUCUCAACACUUGUAACUACUUUGACAUAAUUUCCCAUGCCUUAUAUACUUCCAUUAGCCCCAGGCUAGGAAGUCCUAUGAGGGUUCAGCUGAAGGACUGGACCUCCCCUAAAUCUAGCUUAAACUUGUAAACUGAUCCUGAGCUCUCCACCCUGGACUUUCCCUGGGGAUGGGUUUGACCUGAAACCCAGGUCAAAAGUCCUCCCAGGUCCUAGGCUUCCAAUAGCUAGAUAGUUGAACUUCUAGUAACCAGGCCUCUUGUCACAGGGAUAACAGCAGAAGAAUACACUGACUUCCCUUUUUGUAAUGAAGUUUCUCUGAAAAAGGUCCUUGGUUGGGGAUGAAAAAAUCAGCCUUUAAUAGGCAUAUAUUCCCUAAUGUGCUACUGUCCCGCCCCCUUGAAGUGGGACACUUCACAAAUAAGUUCAAACACCUAGAAUAUUAAUUAUUGGAACCAUCAUUUAUUAAUAAAAGAGAGAAAUAAAGAAUCUAUCAACUGGGACAGAAUUCCCUAAUGGAAUACUGCAUUGGUUUGACAUUAAAGACCAGAUUAUAUACAUUGCAGAGAUCUUAUCUAACAAACAAACCUUAACACAGGAAUGUGGGGUCUGAGAUGGGGGGGACAAUUCUUAAAUUUAUGAUGGGGCUAUUAUCCAAGGAGUGUUUAUCUUCACUUAGUCAAAUGUUAGUUCACUGGCCCUUUGAUAUUCCUAAAAUUCCUCUUUUGUCUCUUGCCACCCAAACUAAGCAGAAAGCAUUUUGUUAUCUGCCCCAAACAUCUUGUCCUUCUGGAGGGAAGGAAAAACCAGGUCUGUCCCCUAAAAAUGUGGACAGUGGUAAUUUUUCCAUCUUUGGUUUUUCUGGGGCUACUUCAUUCCCUCCUUUUUCUGUUGGGGGGGAGUCAAACUCUUGACUCAUCAGACAGAGGAGAAUAAUGUGAUCUUAAGACAAAAAGCUUAAUAGCCUGAAGAUGCUGACGGAUAUAGGUCAUAAAAUGGUUGAUCAGGCAGGGUCCUAUCAAGAGGCCCACUAUUACUAAUAUUAGUGGUCCUGCCAUGGCCAUUAUCAAAGUAGUUAGCCACGGAGACCAAGAGAAAAGAUUGGAGUACCAGUUGCUGGAUUGAGCAUUAGCCCAGGUCCUCUCUUGGAUCCUUCCCCUGAGCAAGGCCAGAGAUUCCUGUAUAAUCCCAGGAUGAUUAGCAUAAAAACAACAGGAUUCUCCCAAUGCCAUUCAGAGCCCACCCCCCCUUGCUAAAAGAAAAAGAGAUUGAGUCCCCAUCUAUUUUGGAGAACCAUUUCUGCCAGAGAGGACAGUGAUUUUUCCAGGAAAUUAACAGGUAUUUCUAAUUCACUAAGGUCUAAAAAGAUAGUUGUGAGCAUAGUGAGGAAGGAUCAUUCUCCGAGGGCACUUUAUGGCAGUCUCAAACAGUUGCCCAGGUGCAGACAGUGGGGGUGGGUUCCUGGCCCCAAUCCCACAAGGACUUCUCUGUUCUGGCUGACUGGUGAGGGUUGCAUUUUUUUUUCAGCUAUUUGCCACUCUGUAAAUUCUCUCCCAGGGUCCUGGACUCUCACCUCCAGCCUAAGUCCCCACGUCCCGCCUAGUAACCAUCUUUUAUCCUCUGGGUUUUUAAUGGUCAGGGAAAGGGGAUUCCUGAAAUCAAGGGGGACGUCCCAGACCCUGCUUCACUCCCUUUGUAGUAU